rnacentral:rRNA from 1 species
GAGAGUUUGAUCCUGGCUCAGGACGAACGCUGGCGGCGUGCCUAAUACAUGCAAGUCGAGCGAACAUUUGAGAGCUUGCUCUCAAAUGUUAGCGGCGGACGGGUGAGUAACACGUGGGCAACCUGCCUAUAAGACUGGGAUAACCUCGGGAAACCGGAGCUAAUACCGCUCGUAGACUGCGUACA